AUUGAACGCUGGCGGCGUGCUUAACACAUGCAAGUCGAUCGGUAACAGGUGUAGCAAUACAUGCUGACGAGAGGCGGACGGGUGAGUAAUGCUUGGGAAUCUGCCUAUUAGUGGGGGACAACCCGGGGAAACUCGGGCUAAUACCGCAUACGCUCUACGGAGGAAAGCCGGGGACCGCAAGGCCUGGCGCUAAUAGAUGAGCCCAAGUCGGAUUAGCUAGUUGGUAGGGAACGGCCUACCAAGGCGACAAUCCGUAGCUGGUCUGAGAGGACGACCAGCCACACCGGAACUGAGACACGGUCCGGACUCCUACGGGAGGCAGCAGUGGGGAAUAUUGGACAAUGGGGGCAACCCUGAUCCAGCGACGCCGCGUGGGUGAAGAAGGCCUGCGGGUUGUAAAGCCCUUUCGGUGGGGAAGAAAAGUCUCGACCUAAUACGUCGGGACCUUGACGUAACCCACUAAAGAAGCACCGGCUAACUCUGUGCCAGCAGCCGCCGUAA
rnacentral:rRNA from 1 species